rnacentral:tRNA from 1 species
GCCCGGAUAGCUCAGUCGGCAGAGCAUGGGACUCUUGAUCNCAGGGUUGUGGGUUUGAGCCCCAUGUUGGGUG